UACGAAGGGGGCUAGCGUUGUUCGGAAUUACUGGGCGUAAAGCGCGCGCAGGCGGUUCUUCAAGUCAGAGGUGAAAGCCCAGAGCUCAACUCUGGAAUGGCCUUUGAGACUAGAGAACUUGGGUACGGGAGAGGUGAGUGGAAUUCCGAGUGUAGAGGUGAAAUUCGUAGAUAUUCGGAAGAACACCAGUGGCGAAGGCGGCUCACUGG
rnacentral:rRNA from 1 species